rnacentral:rRNA from 1 species
UACGGAGGGAGCUAGCGUUGUUCGGAAUUACUGGGCGUAAAGCGCACGUAGGCGGCUUUGUAAGUUAGAGGUGAAAGCCCGGGGCUCAACCCCGGAAUUGCCUUUAAGACUGCAUCGCUUGAACACGGGAGAGGUGAGUGGAAUUCCGAGUGUAGAGGUGAAAUUCGUAGAUAUUCGGAAGAACACCAGUGGCGAAGGCGGCUCACUGGACCGGUAUUGACGCUGAGGUGCGAAAGCGUGGGGAGCAAACAGG